GGGGAAUUUUCCGCAAUGGGCGAAAGCCUGACGGAGCAAUACCGCGUGAGGGAAGACUGCCUAUGGGUUGUAAACCUCUUUUUUCAGGGAGGAAUCAAUGACGUGUACCUGAAGAAUAAGCAUCGGCUAACUCCGUGCCAGCAGCCGCGGUAAGACGGAGGAUGCAAGUGUUAUCCGGAAUCACUGGGCGUAAAGCGUCUGUAGGUGGUUUAAUAAGUCAACUGUUAAAUCUUGAGGCUCAACUUCAAAAUCGCAGUCGAAACUAUUAGACUAGAGUAUAGUAGAGGUAAAGGGAAUUUCCAGUGGAGCGGUGAAAUGCGUAGAUAUUGGAAAGAACACCGAUGGCGAAAGCACUUUACUGGGCUAUUACUAACACUCAGAGACGAAAGCUAGGGUAGCAAAAGGGAUUAGAUACCCCAGUAGUC
rnacentral:rRNA from 1 species